rnacentral:rRNA from 1 species
UAGCGUAGGGGGCAAGCGUUGUCCGGAUUUAUUGGGCGUAAAGAGCUCGUAGGCGGUCUGUUACGUCUGCUGUGAAAACCCAGGGCUUAACCCUGGGCUUGCAGUGGAUACGGGCAGACUAGAGGCAGGUAGGGGAGAAUGGAAUUCCCGGUGUAGCGGUGAAAUGCGCAGAUAUCGGGAGGAACACCGGUGGCGAAGGCGGUUCUCUGGGCCUGACCUGGACGCUGAGGAGCGAAAGCGUGGGGAGCGAAACAGG